rnacentral:rRNA from 1 species
GAUGAACGCUAGCGGCAGGCUUAACACAUGCAAGUCGAGGGGUAUAGUUCUUCGGAGCUAGAGACCGGCGCACGGGUGCGUAACGCGUAUGCAAUCUACCUUUUGCAGCGGGAUAGCCCAGAGAAAUUUGGAUUAAUACCUCAUGGUAUGUGAGAAUGGCAUCAUUUUCUCAUUAAAGUCACAACGGCAAAAGAUGAGCAUGCGUCACAUUAGCUAGUUUGUAAGGUAACGGCUUACCAAGGCAACGAUGGGGAGGGGUCCGGAGAGGUAGAGCCCCCACACUGGUACUGAGACACGGACCAGACUCCGACGGGAGGCAGCAGUGAGGAAUAUUGGACAAUGGGCGCAAGCCUGAUCCAGCCAUGCCGCGUGCAGGAUGACGGUCCUAUGGAUUGUAAACUGCUUUUGUACAGGAAGAGACACUGGUUCGUGAACCAGCUUGACGGUACUGUAAGAAUAAGGAUCGGCUAACUCCGUGCCAGCCGCCGCAGUAACAC